rfam:Ornithorhynchus anatinus chromosome 4, whole genome shotgun sequence.
AGCAGUGUGGCUCAGUGGAAAGAGCAUGGGCUUUGGAGGCAGAGGUCAUGGGUUCGAAUCCCGGCUCUGCCA